rnacentral:rRNA from 1 species
UGGGGAAUUUUGGACAAUGGGCGCAAGCCUGAUCCAGCCAUGCCGCGUGCAGGAUGAAGGCCCUCGGGUUGUAAACUGCUUUUGUACGGAACGAACAGCCUCUUUCUAAUAAAGAGGGGUGAUGACGGUACCGUAAGAAUAAGCACCGGCUAACUACGUGCCAGCAGCCGCGGUAAUACGUAGGGUGCGAGCGUUAAUCGGAAUUACUGGGCGUAAAGCGUGCGCAGGCGGUCUUGCAAGACAGUGGUGAAAUCCCCGGGCUCAACCUGGGAACUGCCAUUGUGACUGCAAGGCUGGAGUACGGCAGAGGGAGAUGGAAUUCCGCGUGUAGCAGUGAAAUGCGUAGAUAUGCGGAGGAACACCGAUGGCGAAGGCAGUCCCCUGGGCCUGUACUGACGCUCAGGCACGAAAGCGUGGGGAGCAAACA